UUCUAGAGCGAGCACAGCUCCCAGCUCAGUACAAAAAUAUUAUAUUUAUAUAAAAAUAUCUUUCGGCUAGGUUUAAGCAUAAAGUUGUAAAGAUUUUCAUCUAGCAGUAAGCAUAAAGUGAUAAAUAUUUUCAUUUCGCAGUAAGGGGCCACCUAAAAAGAAGACAGGAGAGUAUCUGAGUAACACACCAUUGAAGAGAUAAAGUUUUUGAACGAACACGAAUUAAAAGACUAGAACAAUAUAAGACAUACAUAAGAAGGAACAUUAGAAAAAAGGAAGCCAUCUGUCACCUACCCACUCAAGCAUUCUAUACACUAAAGGAAACAAUAUCAAGUAAACAAUAUUAAUAAGAGAAAACGAAAUAAGGCAACCAUUCAAACGCUUUCAUCAUCCCAGCAGUACAGUCUCAUCACUGACAUAAACUUGGAUUCAAAUUCCAUCGGACAAACAUACAAAUCCAAUAAUAAUAUAGCACCAUUAAUUAUAAUAAAAAUACACUUACACC